rnacentral:rRNA from 1 species
CCCGGGCCUUGUACACACCGCCCGUCACACCAUGGGAGUUGGUUUUACCCGAAGCCGGUGCGCGAACCGCGAGGACGCAGCCGACCACGGUAAGGUCAGCGACUGGGGUG